AAAAAACCCACCCCCGAGUCGAUUGACCGCGUCUCCCACCCCCGUCUGGAUCCGCCGCCUCGCCGCCGCCGGCCGGCAUCCUCCUCCACGCCAUCCUCCGCCGAGCCGUGCCGCCGUCCUCCCCGCACCCCGGCAUGCCUGCCUCCUCUCCGCCGCGCCCUACUCCUCGCGCCGUCCGAGCCCCCCGCACGCGGUUCGCCGAUGACGAGGCCCAGGUCGCCGCGCUCCGGGCCCGCGCCGGCCGGCUCGAGGGCGCGCCGCCCACCACGACGAGGAGACAAGGAGGCGAGGGAGAGAAGAAGGGACAAAGGAAGAGCGGUGCGGCGACCUAGGCCAGAGCUCGCCGGAGCCGGGCGAUGGCGGACGGGCGCGGGAGACGGAGGGAUCCCGUGCGGGGGCGCGAAGUCCUUGCUGUUUCCGACGACCACUGCUGCGUGGCCGCGGGAGGACAGCGCCCGCCGUCGCGCCGGAGCUGCCCAGGAGCAACCAUGGAUGCUCCGCAUUCAAGGUGUACAAGCCCGAUUUGGAGUGGUUCCCUCGCAAGCCCCUGCUAUUCCCCACCUCUCGCGACGUUCUGCAUCUAGAUUGUUUUCUUCAGUGGCAGGACCGCAGGAAGGUUUCCAAGGAGGACUAGGAUCUGGCUGUGCUCCACAACCAUCACAACCAAGCCGAGGAGCGCCAGAGAUCACAACUUGAAAUUUUUAACUGCAAUAUUUGUUGGUCAGUGUCCUCCUCUGAAAUUGUUCGUAAGGUAAUGCUUUAUUCUGUAUAGCAUCCUUGGAAGAUUGUGUGGUGUGAUGCUUUAUUUAUAAAGCGGGGCGUACAGCCCUUUUCGUUAUUCUGUAUAGCAAAGAGAAAGAGCCUCAGUUUGGUAUAGCAAUGGGGUGAUCCUUCGUUGGAAGAAACAUUGGUGUGAAACAGAUAGACUUACUGUCUUUUUAUACUAGCAUAGUGUUGGUUGUUAAUUUUAAGUGUAUCAUCAGUUUUUUCAGCCAGUGAAGUUAUGCUCACGACAUGGAGAACUUCAAGGACAACCUGCCUGAACAGUUUCUACCUGAUUAGUGAACUAGGCCAUUUACUAUACAAAUAGUUAUUUUGUUGCAAGUUACGCCCGUUGCUUCUAAAUACUGCACUUUUGGUUGCAUUUUGCAACUAAGAAUGACACAAGCAAACACUAAAACAUUCGAGCAAUGCCCAAGGUUAGUACAGGAAGCAUAGUAGUUUGCUUUAGUAGAAAUUAUAUUCCUUUUUUCCACUACUGUGAACAUGGACGUGAGUAGGUAAUUGCUCCUAAAAAGAAACCUAAUUAAUGUAUUGUUGAACCUAAUUUUGAGAUGAUUUUUAUUCUACCAUUGUACAGUGCACAUCAGCAUCGUCUAAAUACAUAUGUCUGUGGGGUUUUCUUUUUGGUGGCAAAUUGAUUCUUGCAAUCAUAGCGGAAAGGCCAGCAGUAAGGCACUUUACACUGAUGAAAUUUGCAUAAGUAUUCCUCUUUGUGAUAAGAUUUCACCAAAAGUUUCAACAUUAAGAUGUUUACUUAGUUAAAUCCUGAACUGAGGCACCCACCCAUACAUGUAUAAGCUCCAAAAAAUAAAACAAUCUGCAAAGAAUUUUUCAGCUUUCGGGCUAUUAGUGUUAGACAUUUUCAUAAGAAAUGAUGAUGUUAGUAUCAAUUGAAUUAAUUUGACCUUACACGCAGUGCAGGUACUAUUAAAUCUGUAGUUGUAAUUUAUUCACCUGUAACUUGAUUUUUUUUUCACUUCUCUUUUUAUAAAUUCAUGUAGUCGGCUGUAAUAAUCAUAUUUUUUUUCUUUUGAGAGAGAAAUUGUGUGUCUGCUCUGGUUUCAGUUUUAACGUCAGCUCGUUACAAUCUGUAACUAACUUAUAGACUACUUCAUCCGGAUGGGUUUGCAACUUUGUGUACAGACUGCUUCAACACUUCUAUUUUCUAUAUGACUUGGAUUAAUAAUCUCCAACAAUAUGGUCAUGCUUCUUAUAUUUACUUUCAGUUCUAAAUACAUUUGUGCUUUUCUCUAUGUUGUGCUACUAAACUAUGUGUGCUAAACUAAACAUAAAAAUAUGAUGGGGUGGUGGUUUCAGCCACAGAAAGAAUUGAUUUGGAGAACAAAGGGAAUUUUCGGCGGACGAAGAACUCGCUUGAGAUGCUCAAGUGAUGAUUUUAUAUAGCGUUUUAUCUAAACCUGGGUUCCUUCUUUCAGACUGGGCGGUGCCAUAUGAUGUGAAGCCGGUGUAAUAACUUUUUCAUUUGGCAUUGGUGGUGAGGUGGCAACCUUUUAGACAAUUUGGCACCUGUAACACAGUGGAAGACCUCAUACGAGAUGGUUGCCUUCUUGGUAGUUGUUGCGGCUUCUGAAUUAAGUGUACCACCAUGUUUAAGACGCCAUGAUCAGAAGUUGUGGUGGGUGUAACCGAU
rnacentral:rRNA from 1 species